UGCGGAGGUGGCUGCCUCGGAGGUUUGUGUGGGGGGAUGGGCGGUUUCUGGAUCCUUCCUCCAGGAUUUUCAGCGCUGGGGAGCUCUUCUUUCUGCAGUGUGGAGGAGCGGUGGGUAGGAGCGGCGCCCAGCUUCAAAUCCAUCCUUCAUAGAUGCCUGGAACAUCUCUCCCAUGCUAGCUGGCACAUGUUAAGAUUCGUCAGAUCAGAGGCAAGAGAAAACUAUGGACCAUUUUUUGCCUCCUCUACUCAGAAUGGAAAGAACCAAUGGAAUCUUACUACUAUUAACAUCUCUGAAUAUUGCACUGGUUUCUGGAAUUUGCACAGAGCGGGAGUCC